rnacentral:rRNA from 1 species
AAUGAACGCUGGCGGUAUGCCUAACACAUGCAAGUCGAACGGCAACACAGUAAGAUCUUUCUCUUACGGUUGGCGAGUGGCGGACGAGUGAGGCAUACAUCGGCAUCUACUUUUUCGUGGGGGAUAACGUAAAGAAACUUACGCUAAUACCGCAUAUGACCUACCGUUUAAAUCAGGAGUUCUUCGCACCUUUCGCGAUUGAAUUAGCCGAUGUCGGAUUAGCUAGUUUGCUUGGUAAAGGCCCACCAAGGCAACGAUGCGUAGCUGGUCUGAGAGGAUGAUCAGCCAAACUGGAACUGAGACACGGUCCAGACUCCUACGGGAGGCAGCAGUGGGGAAUAUUGGGCAAUGGGCGCAAGCCUGAUCCAGCCAUACCGCGUGGGUGAAGAAGGCCUUCGGGUUGUAAAGCCCUUUUGUUGGGAAAGAAAAGCAGCAGGUUAAUCCACCGAUGUUCUGACGGUACCCAAAGAAUAAGCAACGGCUAACUUCGUG